AGAUUUCCCAACUGCACGUAUCAAAAACAAGACUGUAGCAAGAGAGGGCUCCUGGUCGCAGUCAUUGUCCAAGUGCGGAUCCAGGUCUCCUCCACGGCCAAGGGAAGGAGUCCAAGCUGCCAGAGCAGCAGAGCCAUGGCCCCUUGGGUUCCGAGUUCAGCGUUUUGGCAGCUGAGCCUCCUGCUGCUGGGCUCCCCCUGCCAUCCCCGGGCGAGAAUGUGUUCAAAGGGCAAGACUGGGCUUCGCUUCUCCUGGUGAGCUGGCAAAUCGCCUAGAAACAGCAGACCCUAGAUUAUGGGGGGACAAUAGAUAUUCAGGAAAUCAUGUUUCCAUCUCUUUCCUUCUUUGGCUUCAACUAGUAAUGAAUCCCUCCACCAGGGGGUGGACAGAAGCCAUCAGAGAAACCAGCGCUCCCCAAUGGCAUGUAGUCCCAGUUACAGAUUUGACAUUGUUUUAGGCCCUGGGCAUCCACCGAUACAAUAAGUACUGCAUCCAUGUCCUUCUGUCUUAUGUUUGAAGAUCAAGUGCAGCAUGUGUCAAACUGACUUGGAUUUGAGCAAGUAAAUGCAGCACAGAAUUCAUGCCUGUCAACAGAGCAAGAUGAAUUGCAUUAGCUGCAAUCAACUGCAGAGUGACUUCAUCCCGUGCCUCCCAUGUGACUAGGUCAAGGGAGAACUUCAAAGUGUCUAACUACAUGGGUAAGAGAACCUUCUUUUUAAACAGGCUCUCACCCACGUGAUGGAAGCCAGUAGCAGACAGACAGGGUGUGUUUGCAUGUGUGCUCGCAUUCAUGUGUGUGUGCGCACAGUCACUGGGCAGUCGGUGAUCCCCAGCCCAUCUGGUGGCUGCACACAGGGGCACAGCAUCUUGCACGUCCCACAGACCAGAUUCAAGACACUCAGACACCCACACACCCAAAGUGCCAGGAGAAAGUUUGCAUCACUUUUCAAGGUUUAAUUCCAUGUUAAAAAGUUUCAUCUGCAAUUAAAAAAAACCUCUUAUUUAAUUGCAUUUUUUCAUAAUCACUCGUUUUUGCUAUCCACACCCAUGCAACCCUAACUUUCAGUCUUUUACUUUUUUCUUUUUGGUACUGAGGAUUGAACACAGAGGCACUGAAAUACAUCCCAGUCCUUUUUAGGGUUUUUGUUUUGCUUUUUGAGACAGAGUCUCUCUAAGUUGCUGAGGGUCUUGCUAAAUUGCCGAGACUGACCUCAAACCUCGUGAUCCUCCUGCCUCAGCCUCCCCGGUUGCUGGGAUUACAGGUGUGUGCAGUGCUCCCAGCAACUUUCAACCUCUUUAGGGGACCCAUUCCAUCCCAGUGUGGCGUAGUGGAGCUUUCUGUGGUGGCAAAAGGUGGUAGAAAUGUCCUGUCCCUGUGCUGGCACUUGGACGCGCCUACCAUGACUUGGUUUAGUUAACUUGUAAACAACAACGCCAGCUGAGCUUUGGCAUUCCUUAUGUCACCAGCCCGGUCUGACUUUAGCAUCUAGCAAACAUUCAGAACUGGCAGGACCAUUUUCUUCCUUCCUGAGAAGAGUGCUGGCUGUCUUUAUGGUCACUAAGAUCUUUGAAAACAGUCCCAAGGUGCCAUUUUGCUGUUUUCCCAGGUUUAGGAAAAGCAGCACAGGCUGUCCCUGUGCAAGGCAGUGGCUGUGCUCAGAUCCCCUCCAUCACAGGGCGGCCAUGUGUACCUGAUACCCCAGGGGCAGCCUCAACCUGCUACACCAACGAGGUCUUUUUCAUUCUCCAAGUGGCAUGGCCUAUAAUUUUUUAUACAAUAAUAAAAAUUUUUAAUCUACUUUUUGCCUAGCCAAGAGCAACACGGGGUAUUAGGAAAUUCCAUCAGUAAUCCAAACAACUUCUUGGCAGCAGCAAUCAUGUCUUUUAUCUGUUUCCUUAGUUCUUAGCAUAAAUUUUAAUAAGUGCUUCUCAGAUGGGUGAAUUAGUAUGAGCCUGGAUGAAUUAGCGUGGCUCAGGAGUGAUGCUAAUAACAUCACACUGGAGACACGGCUCCUUCAAGUUUCUAGCCCCCUCGCAGGUGCCUUUAGGGGCAGAGACGUACGGAAAUACAUUUCCGUGUAAGGCAUGGUGCCUUCAUCUUACACAACAGCUAAUGCAAAAAGACUGCAAACUCAUCCAAGACGAGUUUGCUAUUCCACAAAAUAAAUGGUGCCCUAUGUUUAUAAAGUGUAUGGGUUCAAAGAAAAGCUCCAUUUUCCACAAAACGUUAACUUCUGUUACAUUUUCCCACUGCAAUGGACACCAUCCUUUCCUGCCAUUCCUUCUCAUCUUGUCCUGCUUCUUAUCACCACCCUGGUGGACACACAGCAUGAUCAACCCCUCCCUUCCAUUAUUGCUGCCUGGUCUGACCAUUAUUACAGCCAAGACCCCCAAUUUCUAAGGAUGUUUGACCGGAUACCCCCAACUCUUCCUAGUUUCUGUCUGCUUUCUUCAUUGUUCAUCUCAAAACAAUCCAUCGGUGAUUUCACCUGAUCACCCCAUGCCUACCCAAGCCUUCUUUAAGUUGUACCUAAUUACUAGAAUGCCCUAUCGUCUCAGGUUCUCUAGCUUUGCCUCUCUCUUAGUAUCAAAAACACUUGAACCCCCAGUUCAUGUACAGAAACUUUCUCUAACAACAAAACCAACGUGUUGUAGAAGAAAGAACCUAAGAGAUCUAGGAGGUGUGAUAACAGGUUUUAAAGUCCACUCUUGCCACUAAGUGGUUGUGUGAUCUUGGACAAUUUAUUCAACCUCUUUGGGGUUCAGUUAUUGUCCCUGUAAGAUGAGAAGGGAGGGUAAUUCAAAUAAUCUCUCCAUACUCUAAAAUCUGUGCAAUUAAGGAAUAGUGUUUAUUCCUUACCAUCCUGUCAAAAAAAAUUGUGAUAGUGUUGUGCUCUCUGAUUAUCAGAUAAUGCUUGGAAAUAGCUUUACACUUAAUUUAUGAAAAAUAUUAUGUGUAUGGCUAUGAUCAGCGUACUAUUAACAUGAAUGGGUAAGUCUUUAAUAUGUGAAUGUAAGAAAACAUUUACAGUAGGGAUUUGCUUCUAUUCAUGGCAGUGUGGUCAAUUUAGACCAACCCUCCUUGGAGAAACGAAAUUUAAAACAUAUUUUUUGUUUGAAUAUGUUGAUUUGCAAACAGGUUAGUGAAUAAUUAUAUUGCCAAGAUCUGGGAGAAGAAAGAAUUAUACAAACGUGAGCAUUUGGGCCUACUUUUUCCCAUUAGGACUGUUUCAGAAGAGGUAGAUGUUAAGAUGAUAAGCUGAGCAGAGAUUUUAACAAACUCGGGAAAUUAGAGAACAAAACUUUGAGUUAGGAUCUGACACAGCAGUUAGCAAGUAAGACUUUAGAUCAGAACCCUGAGAGGCUACACAACAGGAGUAAGUGUGAACAUAAAAAGAUCAUCCCUCAAAGACAUUGUGGUGCAACUGUAGGAUUAAGGUAAUUGAGAUUGUCAGUGUCCUUAGACAUCUAUCAAGAGCAAAUUUAUAUUGCUCAUUAGAGGACUAUGACAUCAUCUUAGGUCUUAAAUUCUCCCUACACUUUUUCAUAUACAAUGUGAAAAACUCAGCCAAAUAUAAUCAUGUACAUGAGGAGUCCAGACAAUGUGAUUGAAUGUCAUGAUAAAUAGGAAACAAUAGAAAUCAACAUGGCCAAUCCUGAUAUUGGCAUUCUUUUUUGGGCUGGGGGCACUGAGGUUGAACUCAGGGGUGCCUAACCACUGAACAACAUCCCCACCCUUUUUCAUUUUUUAUUGUAAGACAGGGUUUCGAUAGGCUAAGAUUGUUGUCUUUGAACUUUCGAUCCUCCUGCUUCAGCCUCCUGAGUCGCCGGGAUGACAAGUGUGCACCACCAUGCCUGCUGAUAUUGGCAUUCUUAUACAAGCUUUAAAAUAACACUGACAACUAUAUUUGCAGAAAUAAUGGUGAGACUGGUAAGUUAAGCAGAGAAUUGAAAACUCUAUAAAAGAACACAAAUAGGAAUUACAUAACUAAAACAGGCAACUUCAAAUUAAGAACUCAGUGGAUAAGAUUUAGAGCAAAAUAGAUACAGCUGAAAAGAGAACUAGAGAAGUGAAAGAAAAGACCGAAGAAAAUGUUCAGGUUGAUACAGGGAAAACUAAAGUUUAGAACAUACUGAAAAGAGAGAAAAGAUAGAAAAUGGAGUAGAAAAACAUAAAGUGUGUUUGGAGUCCUGGUAGGAAAGGAGGGAGAAAAUGAGACAAGAAAUAUUUGAAGAGACAAUGGCUGAGAGUUUUUCAAAACUGAUGAAAGACAAAGUCAUAGAUUCAAGAAUGAUUAUAAACAUCCAAUCAGAUAAAUACAAAAAAACAAAAGUUAUAGUUAAAUUCUACUAAAAGACAAAGACAAUAAGAAAAAUCUUUGAAGAAACCAAAGGAGAUAGCAGAUUCCCCGCCCCCUCAAACCAAAACUGACAGGUAACUUUACAGAAAUAAUACACCAAAGAAUAAUAUCUUUGAAGUUUUUAAUUCUACCUCCCAAAAAAUAACCCUCAAAAAAAUGACAAGGAAAUCAACAACUGAGAGAAUCCUCACAAGCAGAACUGAAAUAAAGGAGCUAUCCUUUAGGUAAAAGGAAAACUUUUACAGUUACUUAAAAAUGAAGAUGAAAAUAAAGAGCACAGAAAUGAGUUAAAUAAAUGAUUAAAUCCAAAUGAACAUUGUUCUUUAUAAUAUAGCAUUAACACUAUAUUCUGGGAUGUAAAAACAUAGAAAGUUUGUUUUUAAACUUCAACAAUAAUCAGGAGGGGUGUAGUUGGAAUAUUCUAAAGUCCCUUGCAUUUAGAAGCAAAAGUGUUAAUGAUAUUAGCUUUUGAUAAUUUAGCAAUGCAUGAUAUAAUCUCCACUGCUAAAAAAAAUAAUAAAAAAUUGGGAACUGCCAAGUUCAUGGGAGAAAAUGGUUUUAAAACAAUGAGUCAAUUCAAAAAAAGACAAAAAGAAAACCGGAAAAAGAAUAAGGGGUUGGGAAGUACCUAGAACAGGCAAGAUCAGCACAAACCUAAUUGGCAGAUUGUAGAUUUACGCCCAAAUAUAUGAAGAGAUUUAGUAAUUGUAAAGCAACUAAGUAUCUUCAUUAAAAUGAUAAUAGCUGGGCUUAUUUUUUUUAAAAAAAAGACUUCUAAUAUUUUGGAAAAUAUGCAUUUGAAUUAUGAGAAUACAGAAAGAUGGAAUGCAUAAUACUAUGCAAAAACUAACCAAAAGAAAACUAGUGGGAAAGAACAUUAGGCAAGAGGUCUUCCUAAAGACAUCGAGAGAAACUAUACAACAUAACUAUACAACGUUUACUUCAUCAAUUAAGAAUUCUAAAUUUACAACAAAUGACAGAGCUUCCUCAAUAAUUGACAGAAAAGACACUUUUAAAUUAGUAAAACUAUUGAGGAUUUGAAUAAGACACUUAUUAAUUAACAGGCCAGAUCAAACUGAACUACAUAACAAGGCACUGUUAUCCAAUGUGCAGAGACAUACAAAUUUUAAGGACAGGAAUAUUUAUAAGAAGGUGAUCAUACUCUGUACCAUAAAGCAAGGCUCAACAAAUUUCACCAAUGUUAAGAUCAUACAGCUCUGUAAUAGAACUAAGCUAGAAAUUAAUAACAAAAAAAAAUUACUAGAAAUAAUUCAAAUAUAUUUUAAAAUAAAUCGUGUGCCAAAGGAUAAAUCCUAAUGGAAGUUAGAAAAUAUUGUUAACUGAAAGAGAAUUAAAAUAUAAUAGUUCAGUGGAAAAAAUAAAGUCUUUUCAAUAAUUGAUGCACGGUGAACUGGGUAUCCAUGUAGAAAACUAAAAUAAAAAUUGAUCUCCACCUUCAUACAAUGCAAAAAGUUGACUCCAGCAGAGUGUAGAUGUAAAUGUGAAGGGUAAAGUUAUAAGGCUUCUGGGAGAAGAUUUAGAAGAAUAUCUUUAAGAGCAUAGAAAAGGGAGAGAUUUCUUGCAUAAGACACUAAAGUCCUUCAGCAUAAAAGUCAAGUCCUGUACGCUGGUGUUUCUCAACAUUUGGAACUGUUUGUUAUCAGAAAAGAGCAUUAAGAAAGUGAACAGGCAAGCCUUGGACGGAAGCACAUUUAUAACAUCUGUAACUCAUGGAAGGUGAGUCAGAAGGCCCUGUAGACGGCAUGGACAACGCAUCUGAACGGAACCAUGGAAGACAGCAUCGACGUGGACCUUGGCCACGUGAGAAGGUACCCAGUCUCAUAACCAUAGGGAAUGGGGCUAAAACCAUGAUGCGUGACUAUCACAUAUACACACGCGCACCCCCAUACCAGGAGGGCUUCAAUCACACAGACCGAUCACUUGUUGAUAUCUGAAGCUAUAAUACCAGCACAUUUUGGAAAAGUUUAGCAUUAUCUACUAAAGCUGAGCAUUGGUCUGCCUAAAGACCUAGCACGUCUCCCAACAGAAAUGUGUGCCCACAUGUGUCACAGGAGACAUAAAGGACUAUUCAGAAGAGUACAACAUGUAAGAACCCUAGAUUGGAAAGAGCCCAAAUAUCCAUCAGCAAUAGAACAGAACAAUAAAUUGGCAUGUUCUUCCCGUGGAGUCCCAUUCAGCUCCCCUAAGGAACUAACUCUGCUCCCUACAAUGACAUGGUGAUUCUCAUGAAAAUAAUAAUGAACAAAAGAAGUUGAAAAUAAAAUUAAAUAUUCUAUAUGCUUCCAUUUAUAUAAUGUUCAAAACAGUAAACCAAAUACCUGGUUGUGAUAAAAGGGAAAAUAGUGUCUAUCUUUGAGGAGGUAGAAGAACAGAGUGGUCAGGAGGGGCUCCAGACAGGGGUGUCUGGUCAUUUUUAAGUUCUUGACCCAGGUGAUAUGUGGGUUUAUUCUCUCCAAGUAACUCAUUUCAUUGGGUAUUACACUUUUUAAAAAAGACUUAAAAACAUUAUUCAAACCAUGAUUUAACAUGUAUUGAACUCUGGUAGUAAAUGCUAGACUUGAAAAGGUAAAGUCAGAGAUGGUGUCUGGCUUCCGGGAAUCCAGAUUCUGGCUAUCAACCAGGACUUAGAGGGGAAACAGCUUUGGUUUAAUGCUAAAUGUCCUUUGAGAAUCGAUAUGCAGAAUAAGAGUAUUUACCAGUCCCCAUAGAAGGCGGAUUGGUUUCUCUUGAGGUGUUGACAUGUGAACAGGUCUUAAAGUACAGUUGCCCUUUUCACAAAUGAAGAACAUGGAGAGAGAUGUUUUAGGUCAAAUGCACACAAAUGUGAGUAAAGUUUAACAGAGCAGGCUUGUCCACUUAGCCGCUAAAUAGAUAAUGAGAAAGCUCAGUACUUAAUAAAUUUUGCAUUAGUGCUAAGGACUGCUAACAGGACUGCCGAGAGAAUGGUCUCCCUCCAAUAGACAUGAGUAAAAAUAGAAUCAAGGAAAUGCUGCUGGUUGAUCUUAAACUCCAUACCGGCUGCUUAGGACUAAAUGUGUGUGUUCCCCAAAUUCAUAUGUUGAACUCCUAAUCUCUGUGCUCAUGGUAUUAUGGGAGUUGGGAACUCUGGGAGGUCAUGAGGGUGGAGUCUCAUGAACAGGACUAGUGUCCUAUAAGAGAGGCUCCAGAAGGCUCCCCAGUUCCUUCCACCAUGUGAGAACACGGCAAGAAGUUUCCAUCUACAAAACAGGAAACAAGCCUUCUCCAGACAUUGAAUCUGCAGGCCUUGAUCUUGGACUUCCAGCCUCCAAAACUGUGAGUGAUGAUUUUCAGUUGUUUAUGUAAGCCUCCAAGUUGUGGUAUUUUGUUAUAGCAACCCAAAUUGACUAAAACACCUGGAUCUUAGCUUCUUUAGCCUGGAUCUGUUCAAUAUGUUUGGUAGUGUCCAAGUACUAAUAGAAACAAAUGUUAUAUUUUAAGAAGUGUGUAUAUCCAUAGGGAGAAAAUUGUUUCCACCUCCUUGCACUGGGCCCUCCAGAUGUUGAUCAUGCUCCCCAAAGCACAAAGAAGUGUGUCUACCACAAGGUUUUGUGGAUUUCCAUUGGCUCAGACUACCAGUGCCAACAUGACACCCCAACCGGGACCUCCCCCAGGCAAUUCUCCACACGCAUGAGCAACUCUUCACCACCCUGCAAUUGAGAGGAGGCCCUGAAGUCCUACCUUGUGCAUGCUCUGCUGUCCCUGUCACACAGGGAAGUGGUCAUGUAUUGAGGUAUCUGUGUCUAACUAGACAGAGGCCUGUGGUGACCAUCAUCAUGUUCCAUCAUAAGAGCCCAGAUGGUCAGCAGUCCCCGUGGUGUACCUGUGAUAAAAGGAAGGUGGAUCCUCAUCUCCAUCAGGUGUGGGCUGAUAAGUGGGCCAUUGGUCACCCCGAUGAAGACGCGUGUGUCAGUAACACCCAUGUCAGGACAAAACCUGAAUUUUCUGGAGCAAACAAAGAUUCCCUCAAAAUCAAUGACCCUGUUGCCCCAGGAUUAUUAUAGGAUAUCCCUGAGUCACCUUAGGAAGUCCCAUCUCUCCAGUGGAGCAACAUUAGGGUGUUUAGCGCAUGCAGCAUUGCUUUUGGACACCCCUGUUGGUUCUAGGUCCCUGGGAGGGAAGGUGGCCCUGGAACUGGAGCUAGCUCCCUCCUCCUGUUUCCCCAAGAAGCCUGAGAGUGACACACUAUAUUUUCAAGAGUUGAGCUCUCCAUCUUGUGGGUCCCUUGGCCUGGUGUUCAGCUUACCACAUUGGCCAUCCCAGAGACCCCUGUGGGUGCUGAGAGGUAGGCAGAGGUGUGCUUCGCUGCAGGGUGCCCGCGGCCAGGGUUGAGUGUGCAGACUCCUACUGUGUUUGCAGGGGAUACGUGGUGCAGCCUGCUCCCACUCUGCCUCUGCUUCAGGGACAGUUCCUGCCCCCAGCGGGGCUCCCAUCCUGCUUCUCUGUCCACCUUAGGAGCAAGCCUGCCCCUUUCACCUCGCUGCAGGUACUUCUGAGGCCACCGUCUGGAGGCCUCUCCCCGAUGGCACCGGGAGCCAAGCAACAUCCUGGUAGACUGAGGAUUUCCUAGAAUAUGGAGUCUGACAUAAAUGAGAGAUGAAUGACAGGGAGAAAUUUUCAGCGAAUGAAAAACCGUAUCCCUGGCACCACAAAAAAAAAAAAAAUACUUUCCGUGCUAUGUCAGUCAAACACAAACAUUACAGCUGAUUCACAUUUGAUAAACUGUUCACUUCCCCAUUUCUUUGAUAGGAAAGCUGUGGGGCGAGAUAAAGCCGGGCUGAGCUCCGGAGGACAAACAUCUUGGCAUCCAAUAAACUUCAAACUGUUUCUUUUUUUGUUUUCAAGACUGGCUGCUAUUUCCUCCAUGCCUCUUGUUUAUUAACACUCUGGCUGCUCUGGUGUCCAGCACCCUGUUUUCCACACCGCAACGAUGGACAAGCACCUCUGCCAAGCCGAGUCGGCCCGGGAGAUAACAGCCAGCGACAACAAUGGUCUUCCUCAGUCCCUCGGCCAAGAAAACUUUUGGCAAGGAGGUCUGAGAAUAACUUAUCAUCAGUGUCCUGGAAGGCUCUGAAGUUCUGGAAGCACCGAGUGGUGCUUUGCCAGACAGAGAUAACAGGCAGGGUGCCACCGAGAGCCAGACAUGCUCUGGAAGUCAGGGCCCCACCUGGCAGACAGAAAAGGAAGAAGAGGGAGCAGCCAAUUUUUUUUUUUUUUUUUUAAAGCACUGGGUUUCCUGGUCACCCAGUCCAUGCUGUGAAUAUAGCAUAUAAGUUAUCCAAAAGGGUUUUGUUUAUUUCUGGAUCCUGUAAAGAAUAUCGACUCCUUUGUUGUUGUUGUUGUUAAUGCAAGAAAGUCAUGUGGAAGAGACUGUGUGCAUUUCUUGGAAUGAGACACAGGAUUGUGUGAUCAGGUGAAGCUUUGAGGGUCAGACGAGUGAUCCUCUCAGUGGUGGAUGCACUCUUGAUUCUCCAAGGAUGGGGGUCAACAACUCAGAGAUGAAGCUGUCCACAGCCUGGUGAUGGGACUUGCUUCUUGCAAACUGCCAAAGAGCAUCUCCAACUAGUAUGGGCUGUUCCACCCGCUAGCUCGAGUUUCAGUGGAGAGACGACGAUGCUGAAGCUCAGAGCUGGAAGGUCCCCCUAAGGCCCAUGUGUGCUAGCCUUGUUCCCCAGAGUGGUCUUUGGGGUGUGGAGGGAAGUUUAAGAGGUGGGAGAUUUUAGGUCAGUGGGGUGUGGCCCUCCAAGGAGACUGUGGGAUCUGGUCUCUUCCUCUUUGUCUCUUUCACUUCCCAACAAUAAGGUGAAAGUUUUAUUAGUGUGUCCCCACCCACCCACCAUUGCCAUCCUGCACCCCGACCAGAGGCCUAAAAGCAAUGGAUUUGCCCAGUUAAAUUGACUGAAACCUCCAGGACUGGAGCCAACAUAGACCUUUUUUCUUAUAAGUGGAUCAUCUCGGUUGUCUGUUAUAGUGUCAGAACACUGAUCAUACUCACUGUUUUGCAGGCUUCUUCAACCUAGACACCUAGGUAAGCAUCAUCUUUGACAGUUUCUGUUGUAGACAUGUGAUAAAAAUGCUCCUUAUGGUCUCAUAGGUCUUUUUAGAAUAAUAACUAAAACGGUGACAAAGGAAUGAUUUUAGUCACAAGCUCCACACUGUACUCUAAAUCACUUAAACUCUGAUGUGCUUCAUGCAUCCUGCACAGCCAUGUCAGUGCUACUAACCACUGUUACUUGGAGAACAGUGGAAAGUAAGGAAACAAGCUGUGUUUCAUCAUGUUCUUCAAAGUCACAGAGUUUGUUCCUCAACAGUGACUCAAGGCAAGUGUCCCAGCCUGCUGAGUGACUGGAACUUUGAAACAUGAUUAGUAUGUACAUAAUGAAAGCACCCAUGUCGAUGAUAAGUAACUUAAUCACAGUGUGUAUAAAUACAGUAUGUUCUUUCCCCACAUCUGACACCUACUUAUUUCAGGCAGCUACUGUAAAAUAAUCAGCCCAUCAUCUCCACGAGUAUGUACCAGGCGUCUGCCAUGGUCUUGUGACAGGUCCUCUAAAGAAAGGCAGAACGUUCUUUCCUUCAGAUUUUAUAGCCCUCCUUUUACCUAGGAUAGAUUUGUCAUAUGCUGAUCACUUAAAUCCCCUGAAGAGAGGGACUUCAUCAGACGUGAGUCCGACCUUCAUCAAAGCCAAGUGCCCUCGAUUUUGUUCAUGUUUCAGCAAAUUUUUUUUUUUUUGCAAGUGAAAGUGGGGCUCUGCUGCACUGCUUAGGCCUGGGUGGGGACCACAGUGUUUGGAGGUAGCAUUUUUAUCACUUUGGUCUAAUCAAGAUCCAAACUCUUGAGCCAGUUUCUCACACUGAGCAGUUUACAAAUUUCAUGUAGGAACCUGAAAGAAACUUUAAGAAGGUAAGAAAGACAUAAAGUCGCGUACUUGUGAGGAGGGGAUUUUCAUCCACGGAGUCCUAGAAACACAAUCGUGGAUCUCUGGAUGUUGCCUCCUUUGGGUCGGCCAUCUGGAGGACAGGUGGAAAGCCAUGGAGUCCUCUGGAAGCCCGAGGGCUGCAGGUGGCUGAUGGCCAGGGGACCCGUGGUCUGUCCCCUGCUGUGUCAGGAGCAGGGGCAGCUCUCCUCCCACGCACCUGCUGCCUGCCUGGCUCCGUGUUGUUAGUCUGCCUCGCCACCAGCUUCUGCCUGAAGGGCUCUCUCUCUGGGUUCUUAGAACCUUAACAUUGGUCUCCCCUUCCCCCCUAUUUCUCUGCUCAUUAAACUAAAACCAAAUCAA